rnacentral:lncRNA from 1 species
AAUGUUAUGUCCUUAGGUUUUCUUGUUUCCAAAGGUUCUGUACAAAUUCUUCUUUGUUUCUGAAGAUUACGGAAAUGUAGUUGAGAAUAGGAGUAUGAAGUUGAACCUUACACACCACAAUUCAGUUCACAAAAUAGCAUAGGAUUUUGAGCAAAAAUCAAAUACUGUAAAUUUCAGUUCAUAUGUGCAUAUGUAAACAUGUUGUGAAAUAUCUGAACAGCCGUAUGAAUUGGUAUGAAUUGGUGGUUCCCUGAGGGUGAUGAUACCUUGAGUAGGUGGAUAAUAGUCUCUGCAGAUAUUGUAUAUCACAAAAAUUAGGAAUCAAUUUGGGAAGAGAAUGGAAAGAUGCAGAAAUUUCUUUGUUGCAUUACCUUAAAAUUGGCUGUGAAAUUGGGCUGCAGUAG